AGCUGGGACAGGCAGGAAGAGGGCCUGCUUGUCCCAACGGACGCAGAAGGGGCUAGCCGGAUGGUCUGGCAAUGCCCCCCCCUUGGCACCAGGGCCGGGCAGCGAGAGGGGCUGCAUAGUCCCAGAAGGCACCAGCCUGGGGUGCCUGGAACAGUCGCCGGAGGCUCUGGGACAAUCUCCCUGCGCGGUGCAGGGGGUGACACAAGAUGUGUCAGAGGGGACAUGUGGAGACAGGGCCCACACGUACCCAGAUGGAUCGGCCCUGAUUAUUGUGUGCAGGUACGGGAGUCCGGGGCCGCCAUGCGGGACCACGCCGGGGAGCCAGGCCGAGGGUCCGGGGCCGCCAUGCGGGACCACGCCGGGGAGCAGGCCGAGGGUCCGGGGCCGCCAAGCGGGACCACGCCGGAGAGCCAGGCCGAGGGUCCGGGGCCGCCAAGCGGGACCACGCCGGGGAGCCAGGCCGAGGGUCCGGGGCCGCCAAGCGGGACCACGCCGGGGAGCCAGGCCGAGGGUCCGGGGCCGCCAAGCGGGACCACGCCGGGGAGCCAGGCCGAGGGACCGGGGCCGCCACGCCUGACCACGCCGGGGAGCCAGCCCGAGGGACCGGGGCCGCCACGCCUGACCACGCCGGGGAGCCAGCCCGAGGGACCGGGGCCGCCACGCCUGGCCACGCCGGGGAGCCAGCCCGAGGGACCGGGUCCUCCAAGGGGAGGAUACAGCAGGGCAGGAGCCCUGUGGUUGCCGCCGUCCACCCCGCCGCCUCCACUGAUGGUACUGUUGGGGCUCCGAGGACGUAGCCCUUGGAGGGGGGGCUCUGUCAGGAUUGCCUGCAGCUGGCCUCCACACCUGACUUUAAUCCUGACGCCCCAUAAAUGCCGGAAGUUUCCGCCCGUUCGGGGUCGCUGGCAUUUUCGUGAACUCUAUGCACGAACUUGACCUGGUUUAGUUUUAUGUGUUUUGAGUUCUGGCAAUCGCCACACGCCUACGGGUUUGUUUAUGUUCUUUAUUUAAGUUUAAAUCGUUUUCGGCCACCGCGCCAGUCUUUAUUUGUAUUUCUU
rnacentral:lncRNA from 1 species